AUUGAACGCUGGCGGAAUGCUUUACACAUGCAAGUCGAGCGGCAGCACGGGGGCAACCCUGGUGGCGAGCGGCGAACGGGUGAGUAAUACAUCGGAACAUGCCCAGUCGUGGGGGAUAACACUUCGAAAGAAGUGCUAAUACCGCAUACGUCCUGAGGGAGAAAGCGGGGGAUCUUCGGACCUCGCGCGAUUGGAGUGGCCGAUGUCAAAUUAGCUAGUUGGUGGGGUAAAGGCCUACCAAGGCAACGAUCUGUAGCUGGUCUGAGAGGAUGAGCAGCCACAUUGGGACGGAGACACGGCCCAGACUCCUACGGGAGGAAGCAGUGGGGAAUUUUGGACAAUGGGGGCAACCCUGAUCCAGCCAUUCCGCGUGAGUGAAGAAGGCCUUCGGGUUGUAAAGCUCUUUCGGCAGGAACGAAACGGCGAGCUCUAACAUAGCUUGCUAAUGACGGUACCUGAAGAAGAAGCACCGGCUAACUACGUGCCAGCCGCCGCAGUAAAAC
rnacentral:rRNA from 1 species